rnacentral:rRNA from 1 species
CUGCAGCCCGGGUGGUGAUCGAUUUUAUUGAGCCUAAAGCGUCCGUAGCCGGACUAGUAAACCCUUGGGUAAAUUGGGCAGCUUAACUGUCCAAAUUCUGAGGGGACUGCUAGUCUUGGGACCGGGAGAGGUCAGAGGUACUCAAGGGGUAGGGGCUAAAUCCUGUAAUCCUUUGGGGACCACCAGUGGCGAAGGCGUCUGACUAGAACGGAUCCGACGGUAAGGGACGAAACCCUGGGGCGCGAACCGGAUUAGAUACCCGAGUAGUCC